AGGGUGCAAGCGUUAAUCGGAAUUACUGGGCGUAAAGGGUGCGCAGGCGGUUUGGCAAGAAGGAUGUGAAAUCCCGGGGCUUAACCUCGGAACUGCAUUCUUAACUGCCAGGCUAGAGUAUGUCAGAGGGGGGUAGAAUUCCGCGUGUAGCAGUGAAAUGCGUAGAGAUGCGGAGGAAUACCGAUGGCGAAGGCAGCCCCCUGGGAUAAUACUGACGCUCAGGCACGAAAGCGUGGGGAGCAA
rnacentral:rRNA from 1 species